AACGAACGCUGGCGGCAUGCCUAACACAUGCAAGUCGAACGAGACCUUCGGGUCGAGUGGCGCACGGGUGCGUAACGCGUGGGAACCUGCCCUUAGGUUCGGAAUAACUCCCCGAAAGGGGUGCUAAUACCGGAUAAUGUCUUCGGACCAAAGAUUUAUCGCCUUUGGAUGGGCCCGCGUUGGAUUAGCUAGUUGGUAGGGUAAAAGCCUACCAAGGCGACGAUCCAUAGCUGGUCUGAGAGGAUGAUCAGCCACACUGGGACUGAGACACGGCCCAGACUCCUACGGGAGGCAGCAGUGGGGAAUAUUGGACAAUGGGCGAAAGACUGAUCCAGCAAUGCCGCGUGAGUGAUGAAGGCCUUAGGGUUGUAAAGCUCUUUUACCCGGGAUGAUAAUGACAGUACCGGGAGAAUAAGCGCCGGCUAACUCCGUG
rnacentral:rRNA from 1 species